rnacentral:rRNA from 1 species
CCUACGGGUGGCAGCAGUGGGGAAUAUUGGACAAUGGGGGCAACCCUGAUCCAGCCAUGCCGCGUGUGUGAAGAAGGCCCUCGGGUUGUAAAGCACUUUCAGUGAGGAAGAACGCCUGUUGGUUAAUACCCAUCAGGAAAGACAUCACUCACAGAAGAAGCACCGGCUAACUCCGUGCCAGCAGCCGCGGUAAUACGGAGGGUGCGAGCGUUAAUCGGAAUUACUGGGCGUAAAGCGCGCGUAGGUGGCUUGAUAAGCCGGUUGUGAAAGCCCCGGGCUCAACCUGGGAACGGCAUCCGGAACUGUCAAGCUAGAGUGCAGGAGAGGAAGGUAGAAUUCCCGGUGUAGCGGUGAAAUGCGUAGAGAUCGGGAGGAAUACCAGUGGCGAAGGCGGCCUUCUGGACUGACACUGACACUGAGGUGCGAAAGCGUGGGUAGCAAACAGGAUUAGAUACCCGUGUAGUC